rnacentral:rRNA from 1 species
AACGAACGCUGGCGGCAGGCCUAACACAUGCAAGUCGAGCGCCCCGCAAGGGGAGCGGCGGACGGGUGAGUAACACGUGGGAAUUUUCCUCAAGGUACGGAACAACUCAGGGAAACUUGGGCUAAUACCGUAUGAUGCAGAGAUGCCAAAGAUUUAUCGCCUUGGGAUAAGCCCGCGUCAGAUUAGGUAGUUGGUGGGGUAAUGGCCUACCAAGCCUGUGAUCUGUAGCUGGUCUGAGAGGACGAUCAGCCACAUUGGGACUGAGACACGGCCCAAACUCCUACGGGAGGCAGCAGUGGGGAAUCUUGCGCAAUGGACGAAAGUCUGACGCAGCCAUGCCGCGUGAAUGAUAAAGGUCUUAGGAUUGUAAAGUUCUUUAGCCUGUGACGAUGAUGACGGUAACAGGAGAAUAAGCCCCGGCUAACUUCGUGCCAGCCGCCGCCGUAAUAC